rnacentral:rRNA from 1 species
GACGAACGCUGGCGGCGUGCUUAACACAUGCAAGUCGAACGGAAAGGCCCUGCUUUUGUGGGGUGCUCGAGUGGCGAACGGGUUAGUAACACGUGAGUAACCUGCCCUUGACUUUGGGAUAACUUCAGGAAACUGGGGCUAAUACCGGAUAGGAGCUCCUGCUGCAUGGUGGGGGUUGGAAAGUUUCGGCGGUUGGGGAUGGACUCGCGGCUUAUCAGCUUGUUGGUGGGGUAGUGGCUUACCAAGGCUUUGACGGGUAGCCGGCCUGAGAGGGUGACCGGCCACAUUGGGACUGAGAUACGGCCCAGACUCCUACGGGAGGCAGCAGUGGGGAAUAUUGCACAAUGGGCGGAAGCCUGAUGCAGCAACGCCGCGUGCGGGAUGAUGGCCUUCGGGUUGUAAACCGCUUUCGCCUGUGACGAAGCGUGAGUGACGGUAAUGGGUAAAGAAGCACCGGCUAACUACGUG